CGCUCCCGCUGAGCGCCCGCCGGGCCCUCCCGCCGCGGCUCCCGGCCCGCGCCCCGGCGGCACCAUGCAGGCGCAGCCGCUGCUCUACGACUUCUUCAGCGAGGAGAACGCGCCCAAGUGGCGGGGGCUGCUGGUGCCCGCCCUCAAGAAGGUUCAGGUGCAAGUCCAUCCUAAACUUUCCUCUACUGAAGAUGCGUUGCAGUAUGUGGAGGAGUUAAUUCUUCAGUUGUUAAAUAUGUUGUGUCAAGCUCAACCAAGAAGUUUUCUGGAUGUAGAGGAUCGUGUUCAAAAAAGUUUUCCCCAUCCUAUUGAUAAGUGGGCAAUAGCUGAUGCCCAGUCUGCUAUUGAGAAGAGGAAACGAAGAAAUCCGUUAUCUCUUCCAGUAGAAAAAAUCCAUCCCUUGUUAAAGGAAGUUCUAGGCUACAAAAUUGACCACCAAGUGUCUGUUUACAUAGUAGCAGUAUUAGAAUACAUUUCUGCAGACAUCUUAAAAUUGGUUGGGAAUUACGUGCGGAAUAUAAGACAUUAUGAAAUUACAAAACAAGAUAUUAAAGUAGCAAUGUGUGCUGAUAAGGUAUUAAUGGAUAUGUUCCAUCAAGAUGUAGAAGAUUUAAGUGCACUAACUUUAUCUGAUGAAGAACCCUCCACCUCAGGGGAGCAAACCUAUUAUGACCUAGUGAAGUCAUUUAUGGCAGAAGUUCGACAAUACAUAAGGGAACUAAAUCUCAUUAUCAGAGUUUUUAGAGAGCCAUAUGCCUCCAACUCCAAACUGUUUUCAUCUCAUGAUGUGGAAAAUAUAUUUAGUCGUAUAUCAGACAUUCAUGAACUUAGCGUGAAGUUACUGGGUCAUAUAGAAGACACUGUUGAAAUGACAGAUGAAGGUAGUCCUCACCCACUAGUAGGCAGCUGUUUUGAAGACAUGGCAGAGGAACUAGCAUUUGAUCCAUAUGAAUCGUAUGCACAAGAUAUUUUGCGACCUGGGUUUCAUGAUCAUUUUCUAAGUCAACUAUCAAAGCCAGGAGCAGCAUUUUAUUUACAGUCAAUAGGUGAAGGCUUUAAAGAAGCUGUCCAGUAUGUUCUACCCCGGCUGCUCCUUGCCCCUGUUUACCACUGUCUCCAUUAUUUUGAACUGCUAAAACAAUUGGAAGAAAGAAGUGAGGAUGAAGAGGAUAAAGAGUGCUUAAAGCAAGCAAUAACUGCCUUACUCAAUCUUCAAAGCAGUAUGGAACGGAUAUGCUCCAAAAGCCUUGCAAAACGAAGGCUUAGUGAAUCUGCAUGCCGGUUCUAUACUCAGCAGAUGAAGGGGAAACAGCUAGCAAUUAAGAAAAUGAAUGAAAUCCAGAAAAAUAUUGAUGGUUGGGAGGGUAAAGACAUUGGACAAUGCUGUAACGAGUUCAUCAUGGAAGGAACACUCACACGUGUAGGAGCAAAGCACGAGAGACACAUAUUUCUAUUUGAUGGCUUGAUGAUUUGCUGUAAGUCAAAUCAUGGCCAGCCAAGACUUCCUGGUGCUAGCAAUGCAGAAUACCGACUAAAGGAAAAGUUCUUCAUGCGAAAGGUACAAAUCAAUGAUAAAGAUGACACUAAUGAGUACAGACAUGCUUUUGAAAUCAUCUUAAAAGAUGAGAACAGUGUUAUUUUUGCUGCUAAAUCAGCUGAAGAGAAAAACAACUGGAUGGCAGCAUUGAUAUCUUUGCAAUAUAGAAGCACGCUGGAAAGGAUGUUGGAUGUAACAAUGUUGCAGGAAGAAAAAGAGGAGCAGAUGAGAUUUCCAAAUCCUGAGCUUUAUAGAUUUGCAGAACCCGACUCUGAAGAGAAUAUUGUGUUUGAAGAAAACAUGCAGCCCAAAUCUGGAAUCCCCAUCAUCAAGGCAGGAACUGUUGUGAAGCUCAUCGAGAGGCUGACUUACCACAUGUAUGCAGAUCCCAACUUUGUUCGGACUUUUCUCACAACAUAUAGAUCCUUCUGUAGACCUCAAGAGUUGCUGAGUUUGCUAAUAGAAAGAUUUGAAAUCCCAGAGCCUGAGCCAACGGAAGCCGACCGUAUUGCCAUGGAGAACGGAGACCAGCCUCUCAGUGCAGAGCUAAAAAGAUUUAGAAAAGAGUACAUUCAGCCUGUGCAGCUACGAGUAUUAAAUGUGUGUCGACACUGGGUAGAACACCACUUCUAUGACUUUGAACGAGAUGCUGAUCUUCUGAAACGUUUGGAGGAAUUCAUUGGAACCGUUAGAGGCAAAGCCAUGAAGAAAUGGGUUGAAUCGAUCACAAAGAUAAUCAACCGGAAAAAGCAGGCACAAGCCAUCGGGCCCAGUCACAACAUCACUUUUGAGAGCCCACCCCCAGCAAUCGAAUGGCACAUAAGCAAACCAGGACACACUGAGACUUUUGACUUGCUCACUUUGCAUCCCAUAGAAAUUGCUCGGCAGCUCACUUUACUUGAGUCAGAUUUUUACAGAGCUGUGCAGCCAUCAGAACUUGUUGGAAGUGUAUGGACAAAGGAAGAUAAAGAAAUUAAUUCUCCCAACCUUCUCAAAAUGAUAAGGCAUACAACUAACCUCACUUUGUGGUUUGAAAAAUGCAUUGUAGAAACAGAAAACCUAGAGGAAAGAGUAAUUGUAGUGAGCCGGAUAAUUGAGAUCCUGCAAGUUUUUCAAGAGCUGAACAACUUCAAUGGUGUCCUUGAGAUUGUCAGUGCUAUGAACUCCGCAGCAGUGUAUAGGUUGGAUCACACAUUUGAGCAAAUUCCAAGUCGCCAGAAGAAGAUUUUAGAAGAAGCUUAUGAGCUGAGUGAGGAUCAUUAUAAGAAAUACUUGGCAAAACUCAGGUCCAUUAAUCCUCCUUGUGUGCCUUUUUUUGGGAUUUACUUAACUAACAUUUUGAAAACAGAAGAAGGCAAUCCUGAAUUUCUGAAGCGACACGGGAAGGAACUUAUAAACUUCAGCAAGAGAAGAAAGGUAGCUGAAAUAACAGGAGAGAUACAGCAGUACCAGAACCAGCCAUAUUGUUUAAGAGUGGAAUUUGACAUCAGGAGAUUUUUCGAAAACCUGAAUCCAAUGGGAAGCAGUGUGGAGACAGAAUUUACAGAUUAUCUGUUCAACAAGUCACUAGAGAUAGAGCCAAGAAAUGUCAAGCCUCCUCCAAGAUUUCCCAAAAAGUACAGCUAUCCUCUCAAGUCCCCAGGUGUUCGUCCUUCUAAUCCAAGGCCAGGUACCAUGAGACAUCCUACACCUCUGCAACAGGAGCCAAGGAAAAUUAGUUACAGCCGCAUCCCAGAGAGCGAGACUGAAGCUACAGCAUCUGCACCAAACUCUCCCCGAACACCUCUGACCCCUCCCCCUGCUUCUGCCACUUCAAGCACCACAGACGCCUGCAGUGUGUUCGACUCCGAUCCUUCGAGUCCCUUUCAUACAAGAUCUGCUUCUGUGUCAUCCAUAAACUUUACCAAAAAUUCAGAUGAUGCUCCUGUCCCUCCUCCAGUUCCUCCACGAAGAAGACCAGAAUCUGCCCCAGCUGAAUCCUCCCCAUCAAAAACAGUACUGGGACAGUAAUGGAUGCCAGUUAUUGAAGAAAAGAAGCUCCGUAAUCCCCUCUACAGUAAGUAUGUGAGGCAUAAAGUAUCUCUUCUUCAGUUAAUAUGGCUCAUGGGACCAAGUAAAAUUCUCUCACAUUUCCUCUUUUGAAGAAAAACACAUUUCAUUGUCCUGGAAAACUGUGUCAGUUAAAAAUGGUAUUAAUUGAAUGAUGAUGGAAAUCACCUUUUUUAGUGCUUUCAGCAAUGCCAUUGAUCAGGGCCCUUUGAUCCUUUAGUGUGGUCAUAACAUUUCAGAAAGCAUUCUGAUUUCAACAAGAAUGACAGUUUUCACCAUAGUCAAAUCUCAAAACUGUCAAUUUCCUUGGUGUCUUUCCUAAUUUUGUUUUGAAACUCUUUUUCUGGCAAAAGAAGAAAAAGUGAAGAUCUCAAAACCUUGGCUUCAGAGGAGAACAUUAUAUGGUAGCUUUGUAAGAACUCUCCAGCCGCAGGAGGUAUAGUUUAGGUUAUCAGUUCUUUGGAUAUAAACACCAUGAUAAACAUACUGUUGGCAAUGUUAUCUAAACUAUUAGCUUAUCAGUAGAUUACCAGGAAAACUCCUUAAAUUUAGACUUUUUGAUCUAUAUUUCUUCUUUGGCACAUUCUUGUCUGCUCUUGUGCAGCCAAGGGAGACCAGGCUGAAGGAACGACCCAUUGGUUAGGUUGCUCAGUGAGGCCUCACGUGGGUCCCGCUAAUCAGAUUUCUUAAAUGUCAGUAGGUCUCUGUUUUCCUAUGUGAAAUGGGGAAUGCCAUUUCGUAUUUGUGGUUGAGGAUAAAAGGAGUUUUACUGGCGAGAUACCCGGACAACAGGUGAUAAUGGCAAGAGCCUAAUGUAAACAUUUGUUGGAUCUCAGCAGAAUGAGUCAGUCCUACAGUGCACAAACCAUGGUGUUUGACUCAGCUGCAAACAGGAAAAACAGGGUGGGAAUCAAACCUGUUGCAUUUAGAACAGGAGUUUUGAGUACAACUGCUAAGCCACUGGUUUAUGUAAUAACAUCUUUGUGUUAAUAAUGACUUCUUAUUUGGACCAUAGUUGCAUUAGUGACAACACUUUUCACAUAGAAAAUUAAAUCAUUUUAAUGAUGCUAUCUUGUCUCCUUGGUAAAAUGACCCUGGAUGAUCUGGUGUGGCCUGGGAUGAUCUCGUAUGGCCUGGACAAUGAAACAUGCUUGUGUGGAGGGUAGGAGCGUUGCUGUAUUACUCUAGAGGGCUGCUGUAUGGCUAAAACACAGCCUAAACAAUUGCAAACUGUGUAGGCAGGGUUAUAAUGGUCAGCAGAACUUUAUAGGUGUGGAACUUUAACAUUUGUGCUGUUUCACCUCCAGGUUUCUCUGCUGUAUAUAGUCUAGUGCAACAGUGGAGCAUAACCUGGGUUUGUUCAUUGUCUUUCAGAGUGUCAUGGUGGCGUCUUAGCUCAGAAAAGCCCUAUGGGAAUUUGGAAGUUCUAGGAUUCCAGGUGCAAGGUCUUUCACCUGGACUGGGGUAACCACUGGUUUCAGUACAGUGGGAGAUGGAAGGGGUUGAGAGCAGCCCUGGGGAGAAGGACUUGGGAGUGUUGGUUGUCGAGACACUCAACAUGACCCGGCAAUGUGCAGUCACAGCCCAGAAAGCCAAAGGUAUCCUGGGCUGUAUCCAAAGCAGUGUGGACAGCAGGUUGAGGAAAUGAUUCUACCCUUCUACUCUGCCCUGGUGAGACCCCACCUGGAGCACUGCAUCCAUCUCUGGGGGCCUCAGCACAGGAAGGAUAUCGACCUGUUGUAGCAGGUCCAGAGGAGGGAAACUUAAGUUGAUCAUAGGGCUGGAACACCUCUCCUAUGAGGAAAGGCUGAGAGAGCUGAGGUUGUUCGGUCUGCAGAAGGCUCUGGGGAGACCUUAUUGUGAUCUUCCAGUAUUUAAAGGGGGCUUAUAAGAAAGAUGGGGACAAGCUUUUUAAUAGGGCCCCUUGCAGUAGGACAGAGAGUAAUGAUUUUAAACUAAAAGAGGGUAGAUUCAGACAAAAUGUAAGGAACAAGUUUUUUACAAUGAGUGUGGUGAACCACUAGCACAGGUUGCCCAGAGAGGUGGUGGAUGCCCCAUCCCUGGCAACAUUCAAGGUCAGACUGGACAGGGCUCUGAGCAGCCAGCUCUAGCUGAAGACGUCCCUGCUCAUUGCAGGGGGUUUGGACUAGAUGGCCUUUAAAGAUCCCUUCCAACCCAACCUGUUGUGAUUCUGUGGUGAUUUUGCAAGUGCCAUGCAUUUGCUUCUGUUCAGUGUGCUCUAAUGGAAAGUCAACUGUUGUGCCGCCUGGUUGACCCCAAGGUACAUGCUGUUGUCAUGGCAUUCAGCAGCCAUUGAAUUUGUCUAUAACUGUCUGCUAAUGGAGAACAUUAUCCUGCUUCAGGGUUGAUACCAUGGAAGCAUUUGAGAGCUUAUCUUCAAGAAACCAUUUCCAGUGGUGACUAACCUGUUUCUCUAAUAUGCCUCUCUUAAAUCAGGGAGGGAGAGGUCUGUCUCAGUAAGAGCAUGCUAAUACACUGGAUUUAGAUCCUUCAAGUUUUAGAUUGACAUUGUGGGAUAUUUAAUGAUUUUUCUUUUGUGUGUAUUUUAAAUUCGAUUUUCUGUUUAAUUGGCCUGAAUCAAGCUUGUUAAUAUCACUGGAGGUACCACUGUUGAAGGUAGUAGAUUAUUGUGCUUCAUGGAAAAAAUUGUUAAAUUGUCAUUUCUAAACCUGGGUGAUGCAUAGGUGAAGCCUUUCUUCAGGAGAGAAACCUGUGGCCCAACAGAGGUGUAAAAAGUGCUUUUAACUUACUUUGAAAAUUCCAUUCCUUGUUUUCCAUUAAAAAAACCCAAAACACACUUAAAUGCAUCUUUUUGUCAGCUCUGAGCAAAUUUACCUUUUGCAUUCAGUGGAAAAUAGUGCGUUAUAAGGGAAACAAAGUAAAGAGUAAGGUUUUUUUGGUUUUUUUUGGUUUUUUGGGUUUUUUUGUUUUUUUUUUUAACUUUCUAGCCAGCAAAUGUGAAAUCCUUUACUGGGUGGCUGAAAAGUUGUAAGGGAAAAAUAAAAUAAAAACCCAUUUGCCAGAUGCAUGACAAUUGAGCUGCCAAAUGUGCAGAACAUCUGUAAUAUUUUUAAAGAGAAGGGUAAACAAAGGUCACGUUACUGGAAUUGCUUUGGACAAAAUUGUUGAAUCUGAUUUGAAAUGAGCCUUCUUUUGUUUCUGAGAAGAACAAAUCUUAGGUUUCAAUAAGUUUGUUCCAUUUGCCUUUAUCUGAUGCCAUGGUUACUUACCAAAAUGAGUAAAUGUUAAAAGUUUUGUCAUCUGAUUAUUAAAAAAAAAAGAAAAAAAAAGAAAAAAAAAGCCCAAAUGAACAAAAGAAAAAAGAGAGAAAAAGAAGUGGUAAUCUGUAGCUGGUGUAUCUGAUGAUCCGUGUAUGUAACCAUCUGUAGGUGAUCUUUGUAUGCUGUGUCUGCAGUGAUAUUCAGAUUGCAUUUGAGUGAAAAUUUAGUAGUGACUGUUACCUUUUGACAUUAAAAGAUAUGUUCUAAAGCUAAUUUAAAAAAAAAGAAAAGCCUUACGUAUCCCAGAAGUGUACACUUAGAUUAUGUAAGAUACACUGACAGUCCUUGUAGUCUGAGACUGGCUUCCUUAGGCUUAAAUACUGGGUGUUUUAUAUUAAGGACAGUUGUGAGUCUGCUACAGGGGUAGGUUUUGCUUGGGAUAGUAAAAUACUAAAAAAAUGCAGCAGUUUGUAAGCAGAGGAGCCAUAUGAAGUAGAAGACAAGUAAGGAAUGUCUACAUACAGUAGGAGACAUAAAAUAGCAUCUUCUAACUGUGUUGUUCUCUACCCCAGGUUGUUUAUUGUAGGUGUUACUCCAGCUCAGCGGCUUUCUGUUACAACUUUACUGUGUCAAAGGAUUUGCACCCUAUGGAUUCUGAGCAGGUACAAGGACAUCGCAAAUGAUAAGUGUAGGACUGGAAGUAAGAACUCAUACAGAAUCAGAAAGAAAAAAACAUCAAUUUUGACUGUGCCUUAAAUCACUAAAACAGAAGGUAAAAUCCACAUGCAUUUUACAAGCAAGGGUCUGCCACUUCGGAAGGAUUUCCUUACCCAGGAGAUGUUAGCAGCUAGGUUUUUUCCUUUGUCCUGUUUCUGUCCUGGCAUCUGCCUGGCAAGUGUGAAAACCAGGUUUGUUCUAUGAAGGACAGAAGUGUCAUUACAUAUAUGAGACCAAAGACACCAAACAUCAGAGCCCUUGACAGCAUCAGUGCAAUACAGUGGACACUUGUCCAUAAUUGUACAACUCUGGUUCCAUGGACAAACAAAUAGUUCUGUCUAUGGCUGAUUCUUUUGCAGAACAAACAGGCUUUGCUGAUGCUUCAGUUACAAGUAUCUGGCUCUUUAUGUAUUUCUAUCCUGGCCCUACACAGUCUGACUGAAAGCUACCAAGUCCUAGGAAUUGUCUUUGUGAUUCAGUGGCUGGUCAGCAUGGAGCAAUCCUGACUGGAAAGGGCUAGAGAAUUUGUAAUUUAAUGAGGAUGUGAGGGAGAGGGAAAGAACGGAAGGGUGGGGUUUUUUGCCAUUAAAAGCCUUAAAUUAAAAAAAAAAAAUCUUCCCAGAGUAGUUUCCUAAAGCUAGGGGAGGAAAGUAUCAUACUUCUUUCCUCUUUGUAAGGAGGAGAAUUGACUUUUAGUUUCAUUGAAAUUUAUGGGACAGGCACCAGCUAAAACAUUUUAAUCUCUGGGGUUUUCCUUGGUCACAUUCUUGAAAUGUUGGGAAAACUCCAAUUGCAAUAAAGGAUGGAUUUCAUCUGUCUUAGGUGCCCUUUUCACACACACCUCUUUGCUUCCACCAGAAGAGGAAAAGCAGGUGGUAAAUGCAGGUCAGUCAACACUGUGAGAGAGCUCUAGGCCCUGCAUCUGUGGUGGGUAUUAGCCACUGCAUCCAAGCCUGCUCUGAGGCUUUCCUGUGCUGUUGCCACUGCCAGGAGAGCCAUGCAGCAUGAUGAGAACUCUGGCACCAAAUUCAGUCACCCUUGUGCUGAUGCUGAGAGUCCCAAGCCCCUAAUCUCACAGCCUUGCAUAUUUCCCCCAAGACAUUGCUGUUGGCCCCACAGAGACAGUUCACAACCUCUUAAGGUGAAGCUGUCCUUUAAGACAAACCAGUCUCCCAAGCUUUUCAAAACAAGGUGAUAAAACCACAUUUCCUCUUGAAAGUGCCCUCAGAAUGCCCCAGCUUCAGGUAGCACCACAGUUCACCAGUAGUACUCCACUGGUAACACCACUGCACCAGUGGUGCCCUUGCUGCUGGGGUGUGACAUGGGUGUUGCUUCAGAGGGCUGUGUUUCCAUACAAAAGCUACAGUCUUCUGCAGAGAUCAAAGUUGCGGAGGGUUUCUCAUGUCCAAAUGCGAGGAGGGUGGCAUGUGUGUGGCCUUGUUGUUCUGUCCUUGCAGAAGAAGGAGAUACUAUGACUUUGAACAUGGUGCACCAUUGACUUUUCUGCCCCAGAGCCUUUAUUUUUACCUGGAAGAACCAUUCCAAAGCUGCACGUGAUUGGGCUUGUAAGGUGGUGUCAGGCCAAAGAAUUAUUAUCAAAAUGUAUUUCAGAUGUGAUACAGACCAGGAGCCAGGACACUGGUUGACUCUGUCAGUGUCUGCAUUGAUCCACAGUGGGGAUAAGGUCUUUGUCUCUUGUGGCAAUCCCUGGGCUCAGCUUGCAUCACCUGCCUGGAGACAUGGGCAAUUCUGACAGCAGGAGCAGAGAUUCAUACAGCAGGAGGCAAUUCAAUAAACAGGGUGCCACAUAAAAGGUAAAGGAGGAUUUUGGGGAAUGAUUGAAGUCCAAAAGAAAGGAUGUUGCUGUUUAAGCAGUACAAUACUCAGGUGCUUCAGCUGAUGCUCCUUAGACCUUCUCAAACCACCCAGGUAAUGCGAGCUGGCCUCCUGGAAGACAUCUUUGAUGGCGCAUUUUUUGGGAAAGCAGAGGAAAGAAGGGAAUUUUAGACUUCUGGCCAGGAUGCCAGGGCUGCAAAGGUAACCCUUCUGUUGUGGGUGAGCCCAAAUAAGACCUGGCAUGAGUUUGGAAGAGCAAAGAUGUAUGGCAAAUCAAGCGGUUUUGGGGGAUGAGGGGGAGGAGAAGAUAGUGGGAUUCAGCCAAAGCUUUCCAAAACUGAGGGAAGUUAAGUCAGGCAGGGAUGAAAGCUAGCAAGUUCCUGUGCUUUUUGGACAUGCUGUUUGAGCUCCACUGCAACCCAAAGCCUGGCCCUGCCCUGUGCUAGAAAGAGCAGGAUGCGUUUGUAAGGCAGUUGUGACAGUCUCCUCUCCCCCACCCCUCCACCCUCUGUGUUAGUCAGGGGAACCUUGGGGCCUUGCUGUCUGUCUCCACCCUCGGGGACCUGGGGAAGCACUGUUGUGUUUAGGCUGUGGCCUGCCUUUCUUGGGGCUGCUUAUUUCUUUUUGAAGAGCUUGCGGAAGGAGCUCCGGAAACCCCCUUUGGGCUCGUGCCGCGGGUUGUGGUCGCUGAAGGAUGUUUGCUCAUUGUCAUCCUUCUGGCAGAACCUGGUGUUGUCUUCUGCAUGGAGCUCCUAAAAGGGAAAAGACAAUUUAACCAGCAUUUGCAACCUCACAUUCUUGUUCCCUUCUCUCUUUCUCUGUCUCUCUGUGCUAGGAGGGACCUGGUGAGUGAGGAGGUGCUGGCAAGGCUGGGAAACAACAGGUCACUUGGGCCUCAGGAACACUGGUACCUCUGCAGAGACCUUGUUGCUGGCUCUGAGGCUGAGGCAGUGACAGAGGAGUAGAAGGAUAAGCUUUGUUAGAGGGAACUGGAGCCUUUCUUGCUAAGCUUUUUGUUUAGGGAGAGCUUACUAUCUCCUUUUGCCAGUGAGGGAGCAAGCCAGCCUGGGCAGUUGGAAAAACUUCCCACCCUCUCCUUUCUCCCCUAGGGCAGGGAGGCUUCAGGCUUCUUGAGCUGUGAUAUGUUGUAAAAGACUCUUCUGCUGGCUCUGCUGCUGCGUGGUUUUAUAUCUGUGGGGCAGAAGACUUCAUUAGCACACAAAGCUUCUGGUAAAUGUGCCUCUAAAAGAUCUUUCCCUCUUUCAGGAGAGUGCCAAGCUCCUCUCAGCAAGACUCUGGACAAGACCCUUUUCUCCAGUUCUGCCCACCACUGCCAUGGUGACCUCCUUUGCUAUGUGAGGGAGAACGUAUCCUGCAGUUCUGGACAAGCUCCACAUCUGCACCCUGCUGUGGGCCACAGCUCUGUGCAGACGACUUCCACUGCUGCUCCGUGUGCUGUAGAGUCUGGUGCUCACACCCUCAGCGCUCCUCGGCAGCUCCUUCAGAGACCUGCUCAGCUGCUUGCCUUUGCUGUGGAACAUCUCACGCUUGUCUUCAUUGCAUUGGAAGAGGAGACUAUAGUGUGAGAUGAAAACCCGGAGGCGCUGCACACACACCAGCAGCAGGUAAUAGUCAGGAUGCUCUUGCUCCGUGAACUUCAGGACAUUCUGAGGCACAGAGGAGAGCAGGCUGUUUGGAGGGUGUCCUAACCCUUUCUUGGUAGAAGGUGCCACUGGAACCAUGGAUUAGUGCUCUGGAGUGCACAUGGCACUGCCCUUUGGGAGCUUUUCUAGGCAGCAUCAGUUUCUCAGGGACUUGGAUGGGGCCUGUCUCCUGCUACUCCAGUGGAAAUGCACAAGUAACCACGUGGAAUGUGUGGGUGAUGCACUGGUUGAGCUUAGCUUUGGAUAAAUAAACCAAUGUCUUGGCUUUA